UACAGAGGUCCCAAGCGUUGUUCGGAUUCACUGGGCGUAAAGGGUGCGCAGGUGGGUUUGCAAGUUCGAUGUGAAAGCCCCGGGCUUAACCCGGGAAUGGCAUUGGAUACUGCAGAUCUGGAGGAUCGGAGGGGGGACUGGAAUUCUUGGUGUAGCAGUGAAAUGCGUAGAUAUCAAGAGGAACACCAGUGGCGAAGGCGAGUCCCUGGACGAUACCUGACACUGAGGCACGAAAGCUAGGGGAGCAAACAGGAUUAGAAACCCCCGUAGUCC
rnacentral:rRNA from 1 species